rnacentral:rRNA from 1 species
UACGGGAGGCAGCAGUGAGGAAUAUUGGUCAAUGGCCGAGAGGCUGAACCAGCCAAGUAGCGUGCAGGACGACGGCCCUAUGGGUUGUAAACUGCUUUAGCGGGGGAAUAAAGUCGGCUACGCGUAGCCGUUUGUAUGUACCCCGAGAAUAAGGACCGGCUAAUUCCGUGCCAGCAGCCGCGGUAAU